GGGUUAUGAAUAGACAUGCAUGGGAUUGUUCUGUCACUUUAUUUAUUUUAACAUUUAUAUUAUGUCUUUCUAUGACAAGUAUGCUCAAGGUGGCUUGCAGAAUUUGAGCAUGUGUGUGUGUGUGUGUGUGUGUGUGAUGAAGCGAGUGAAAACCCA